CAGCGACGUGUAUAAUACUCCCCCUUGUGUAUCCGCCCACGGAAAACGAGUGAUGCCCUCGUCUGGUGCGGCGACACCACUGGCGGGGCCCAAGGGAAAAAGCGUUAAGCAUCCCACCUGGGGGAGGUACGCCCGGCAACGGUGAAACUCAAGGAAUUGACGGGGCCCGCACAAGCGGAGGAACAUGUGGUUUAAUUCGAUGAUACGCGAGGGAACCCUUACCCGGGCUUGAACUGCAGCAGAACGAUUCAGAGAUGAUGAGGGCCCUUCGGGGCUGCUGUGGAGGUGCUGCAUGGUUGUCGUCAGCUCGUGCCGUGAGGUGUCGGCUUAAGUGCCAUAACGAGCGCAACCCUUUUCAUCAGUUGCCCAUCAGGUGAUGCUGGGCACUCUGGUGAUACUGCCACCGUAAGGUGUGAGGAAGGUGGGGAUGACGUCAAGUCAGCACGGCCCUUACGUCCGGGGAAUACACACGUGUUACAAAGGGGCGUGCAGAAGGCGGGUUGCACGCGAGUGCGAUCAAAUCUUAAAAGUGUCCCUCAGUUCGGAUUGGGGUCUGAAACAAAGACCCCAUGAAGCUGGAUUCGCUAGUAAUCGCGCAUCAGCCAUGGCGCGGUGAAUACGUUCCCGGGCCUUGUACACACCGCCCGUCAAGCCAUGAAAGCCGGGGGCGCCUGAAGUCCGUGACCGCGAGGGUCGGCCUAGGGUGAAACCGGUGAUGGGGCUAAGUCGUAACA
rnacentral:rRNA from 1 species